AGGAGUUCCCAUUGUGGCACAGUGGUUAACAAAUCCGACUAGGAACCAUGAGGUUGCGGGUUCAAUCCCUAGCCUUGCUCAGUGGGAUAAGGAUCUGGAGUCGCCGUGAGCUGUGGUGUAGGUCGCAGACGCUGCUCAGAUCCCAAGUUACUGUGACUCUGGCGUGGGGCGGUGGCUACAGCUCCGAUUAGACCCCUAGCCUGGGAACCUCCACAUGCCGUGGGAGCGGCCUAUAGAAAAGGCAAAACAACAACAAAAAAUUCCCCCCCUCCUUUUUUUAAAUACUAUAAGGAACAUUUUUUUUUUUUUUCCUGAACCAUUUGAUGACACAAUCCUCAUUAUCCCUGAAUUCCUUGGGGCAUUUUUACUAAAAACAAGGACAUUUUCCCACAUAGCUACUCUACAACCACCACAAUCUGGAAAUUAGCAUUGAUACAUUAUUCUAUUAUGAAAUCACAGACCUCAAUUCAAGUGUCAUCGAUUUCCCAAUAAUAUCCUAUAUUGCAAAGAAUUCAAUCCAGGGUAAUAAUAUUUCAUUUAAUUGCUAUGUCUCUUUAGUUUCUUCUAAUCUGGAAUAAGUCCACAGUCUUUUAUUUUCAUGGCCUUGACACAUGGCCUUAACAAGCAUAUGCUAGUAUUUUGUAUACUGUUCCUCAAAUUAGGAUGGUCCAAUGAUUAUUCAUGAUUAGAUUUGCGUUACAAGGCUCUGGCAGGAUUAUCACAGAAGUGAUGAUGUAUUUUCCUCAUGUACGCUACAUGAUUUUGUUUCAUCCCAUUACUAGUGAUGUUAACUGAUGGUAAUUAAAAUUAUUUCUGUUUUAUAAAGUUACUCAUUUUCCCUUUGUAAUUAAUAACUAUUGGUAGGAAAAUUCUUUUGAGACUGUAUGAACAAUCCUUAUUUUUCCACUUUCACUACAUAGUUUUAGCAUCCAUUAGUAUUUCUCAACUAUAUUAAUUCUCACCACGAUUGUUACCAGCUGGUAAGUUUUCAAUCCAACAUUUCUUAUGUGUUUAUUAGCUGACAUUCUACUAAGGAAAAUCUUUCUCUUCUCCCCUUUUAUAUACUUGCUUAUAUAAAUAUAACAUAAUUCCUAUUUCAUUUGGUGGAUUCUAUUUUGAUGCUAUGACAUUUUGCUAUUCAGAUUUGGCCAGUGAGCAUCCCUUCAAGCUUGAUUCUGUGUGUUUCCAACAUUCUCCAGUAUUUUUAGAACAUUUCCUUAAUCUGACACAGCCAAAUAUUCCAGGUUCCAGGCCUUUUGUACUUUCUCUCCAAGGAGUCCUACUUUUAUUUAGUGGGAAAAGAAAUUUAGAAACCAAAAUCUGGAUAUUAGGUAUGUACAAUGCUAUUAGGGUAUUACUGCUCCUAGGCCCUUUCCAUGGUCAAAAACAGAGAAUGUAUGUGUAUUCACACACAUACAAACACACACUUACAUAUGCAAUUCAUUCUAGUAUUUUCUCUUUCCAUAUUUAUAAGUCCUUCUACAAAAGUGAAAAACUACAAUAAUUUUUUUUUAAAAAAACAUUAUUUUCAGGAGUUCCCGUCGUGGCGCAGUGGUUAACAAAUCCGACUAGGAACCAUGAGGUUGUGGGUUCGGUCCCUGCCCUUGCUCAGUGGGUUAACGAUCCGGCGUUGCCGUGAGCUGUGGUGUAGGUUGCAGACACGGCUUGGAUCCCAUGUUGCUGUGGCUCUGGCAUAGACUGGCAGCUACAGCUCUGAUUAGGCCCCUAGCCUGGGAAACUCCAUAUGCCUCGGGAGCGGCCCAAGAAAUGGCAAAAAAACAAAAAGACAAAAAAAAAAAAAAACAAAACAAUUUAAAAAAACAUUAUUUUCAAUAAUUUCUUAUUUUGUCAGUCCCACUGCACAAAACCAAACUCCCAUUGCCACCGCCUUACCCCACUUGGGCUCCAACAUUCCACUUCUGAUCACUGCCAUUUCCAUCCCAUGCACAGAUACCCUCCUCAUAACUCACAGGCUCCUAAUCCUUUUGUGGGUUACCACUCACCUGCUCGAAUUCUAUUACUCUUCAGUAGGCUACCACUGCUAUCCUCCACGAUUUGCCUGCCUCACAUAGAUUGGACUCUAACAACCAACAGUGGAAGUGGACACCCCCUCCAUCUACUCAAUCACCAACUACCCUUGCUCAUGCUCUUAUAUCAAUAGUUCAGUCUAAAUUGACACCCUCCUCACUAUUGUCAGACUCCGACAAUCUGUACCAAGAUUCUUAUGCUGGGGAUGGGGAGAGAAGCGGGGGACAUUACCUAGCUUCAUCCCUUUUAUAAAAAUCAAAGUAUAGUUGAUUUACCAUGUUUCAGGGGUACAGUAAUUUGAUUCAUUCUAUAUAUGCAUAUUUAUCCUUUUUCAGAUUCUUUCUCAUUACAGGUUAUUACAAGAUAUUGAAUACAGUUUUCUGUGCCAUCGAGUAGGUUUUCAUUGUUUAUUUUAUAUAUAGAGGGGUGUAUCCUCUCUGGUGGCUGGGUCUAAUCAGAGCUAGAGCUGCUGGCCUAUACCACAGCCACAGCAAGCCAGAUCCGAGCUGCCUCUGAGACCUACACCACAGAUCACGGCAACACUGCAUCCCUAACCCACUGAGCAAGGCCAGGGAUCAAACAUGAACCUCAUGGUUCCUAGUCAGAUUUGUUGAUGCUGAACCACAACAGGAACUCCCAAAUAAUUUUUUGUUGUUCUAGUUUUACUUGUCACCAUCGGCAGCACUUUACCAGCAUAAAUCAGGCAAUCCUCACACACAGGUUAAAUAUUCACAGGGCACAUUUUGAAACAUUCACCAGUUGAUUUAGAGCCCAGUCCACUAAAACCUGAGGUCAAAUAAGGAGUCCCAGAUCACAUAAUGUUUCCACAUAGAGCCUACUGGAGAUCUUAGAGCCAGGUUGCUGGAUG
rnacentral:lncRNA from 1 species